AACAAGCAAAGGCAUCAACUGAGAAGAAAGAUUGCUGUUGAGAAGAAAGCCUUGGAAGUUGCCAUCAAUGACCACAAUGCUACUGUGGGGGAAGUUGAAAAACUGCCUCCUCCCAAUGAACUCCUGGCUGUGGAUAACUACUCCUGGCCAUGGGAAUGUCAUGGUGAUAUGGAGCGGAAAAAAAUGUUUUUGACAAGGUAAUGCUGCUGGCUAGACUGAAAGAAGAAGAAUUUAUUGUGGUUCGCGAAGUCAAGCAGCACAUGGAGUACAUGAGGAGUGUUGCUGGACUGAUUGAAGAGUUUACCUUUCAGCUCACUGAAGACACCAGUCGGAAAUGCAGUACAGAGGGCUUAAUGGAGAAAGGACGUGAGGGACUACUCUGUGUGCUGAAGAGAAGAUUGCGUGAAGUUGAAACACAACUGGCUAAAGCACGCACAACAUACAAAAGUAUUCUUGGACUGCAAACAUUGCCCUUAGAUGAGUUUUCUGAAGAGGAAGACUCAGAGAAUACUUCCUCAACUGAUGAGGAACUGGGAGAGUAGUUAUUAGGGAGAUGAUGUGUUUACAUUGUGUUGAACCCAAACAUCAGUGCUGUAAUAACUUGUAUGUGAAACCUGAGGUUAUUUUACUGCUGUUGUAAGAUUUCUUUGUGUUUAGAGCAUGUACUGCAAAUUCCUCUGAAACUGUAAAAACCCAUUAUGUUAGCCCAUUAGUCCCCACCCUCUGCCCCAACCCAAUCACUGGUGAUUCACAACUGUCAAACAUGACAAAUUACCUUGGUUUUUUUAGCAUUACAGUUUUGGUCGAAAUGUAUUGCGCAUCCCUACAUACUGUAGCUUCACUAUAGUUUGUAUAUAUUGUACCUACUGUAGUUUACGUAGCCUAUUGUAUUGUUACUCUCUCCAACAAUGUGGUAUUCCAGCUUAUGUUUCCACGGUAGUAUAUCAAUACUCACUCACUUUCACACACUCACUCGCUCACACACACACACACACACACACACACACACACACACACACACACACACACACACACACACACACACACACACACACUCACUCACACACACACACACACACACACACACA